UGUAAGCGUAUACCAAAAUUGUUGCAGUUAAAACGCUCGUAGUCGGAAUUUGGCAGUUCCGGAUGUGUGCACGUCGUGUGCGCACUUCGCGGGGAUUGCUUUGGUGGUCUUGCGUAGGAUGAGGCACUUUUAUUAGUGAACGUCCUCACGCAACCACUUUUUACUGUGAGAAAAUCAGAGUGCUCAAAGCAGGCAUUUGCCGUGAAUGUAUUAGCAUGGAAUAAUAGAAUAGGACUUGGUUCUAUUUUGUUGGUUUGUUGGGACUGAGUAAUGAUUAAGAGGGACAGUUGGGGGCAUUUGUAUUUCGGUGCUAGAGGUGAAAUUCUUAGAUUACCGAAAGACAAACUGCUGCGAAAGCGUCUGCCAAGGAUGUUUUCAUUGA
rnacentral:rRNA from 1 species